rnacentral:rRNA from 1 species
AUUGAACGCUGGCGGCAGGCCUAACACAUGCAAGUCGAACGAGUGGCGGAAGGGUGAGUAAUGUCUGGGAAACUGCCUGAUGGAGGGGGAUAACUACUGGAAACGGUAGCUAAUACCGCAUACCAUCAGAUGGGCCCAGAUGGGAUUAGCUAGUAGGUGGGGUAACGGCUCACCUAGGCGACUAUCACUAGCUGGUCUGAGAGAAUGACCAGCCACACUGGUACUGAGCCACGGUCCAGACUCCUACGGGAGGCAGCAGUGGGGAAUAUUGGACAAUGGGCGCAAGCCUGAUGCAGCCAUGCCGCGUGUAUGAAGAAGGCCUUCGGGUUGUAAAGUACUUUCGGCGGGGAGGCGUUAUCCGCAGAAGAAGCACCGGCUAACUCCGUGCCAGCAGCCGCGGUAAUUC